ACUCAAAUGAAUUGACGGGGGCUCACACAAGCGGUGGAGUAUGUGGCUUAAUUCGAGGCUACGCGCAAAACCUUAUCCCAGGCUUGACAUGCACGGAUUAGCCGGCGGAAACGUCGGUGAGGCCGCAAGGUACAACGUGCACAGGUGCUGCAUGGCUGUCGUCAGCUCGUGCCGUGAGGUGUUGGGUUAAGUCCCCUAACGAGCGCAACCCCUGCCCUUAGUUGCCAGCGCGUCAUGGCGGGAACUCUAAGGGGACCGCCGGCGUUAAGCCGGAGGAAGGCGGGGACGACGUCAAGUCCUCAUGGCCCUUAUGCCUGGGGCUGCACACGUACUACAAUGGGACGGACAGAGCGUCGCAAGCGCGCAAGUGCAAGCUAAUCGCAAAAACCGUCCCCCAGUUCGGAUUGCGGGCUGCAACCCGCCCGCAUGAAGCCGGAAUCGCUAGUAAUCGCGGAUCAGCAUGCCGCGGUGAAUGGGUUCCUGAGCCUUGCACACACCGCCCGU
rnacentral:rRNA from 1 species